rnacentral:rRNA from 1 species
AAGUAGCAAUACUUUGGUGGCGACCGGCGCACGGGUGAGUAACGCGUAUGCAACCCACUUAUCAGAGGGGAAUAACCCGGCGAAAGUCGGACUAAUACCGCAUAAAACAGGGACACCGCAUGGUGAUAUUUGUUAAAGAAAUUCGCUGAUAGAUGGGCAUGCGUUCCAUUAGGUAGUUGGUGAGGUAACGGCUCACCAAGCCGACGAUGGAUAGGGGAACUGAGAGGUUGGUCCCCCACACUGGUACUGAGACACGGACCAGACUCCUACGGGAGGCAGCAGUGAGGAAUAUUGGUCAAUGGGCGAGAGCCUGAACCAGCCAAGUCGCGUGAAGGAAGAAGGAUCUAUGGUUCGUAAACUUCUUUUGCAGGGGAAUAAAGUGCAGGACGUGUCCUGCUUUGUAUGUACCCUGAGAAUAAGGAUCGGCUAACUCCGUGCCAGCAGCCGCGGUAAUACGGAGGAUCCGAGCGUUAUCCGGAUUUAUUGGGUUUAAAGGGUGCGUAGGUGGUUUGAUAAGUCAGCGGUGAAAGUUUGCAGCUUAACUGUAAAAAUGCCGUUGAAACUGUCGGACUUGAGUGCAAAUGAGGUAGGCGGAAUGCGUGGUGUAGCGGUGAAAUGCUUAGAUAUCACGAAGAACUCCGAUUG